GUGGGGAAUAUUGGACAAUGGGCGCAAGCCUGAUCCAGCCAUGCCGCGUGAGUGAUGAAGGCCCUAGGGUUGUAAAGCUCUUUCACCGGUGAAGAUAAUGACGGUAACCGGAGAAGAAGCCCCGGCUAACUUCGUGCCAGCAGCCGCGGUAAUACGAAGGGGGCUAGCGUUGUUCGGAAUUACUGGGCGUAAAGCGCACGUAGGCGGGUAUUUAAGUCAGGGGUGAAAUCCCAGAGCUCAACUCUGGAACUGCCUUUGAUACUGGGUACCUAGAGUAUGGAAGAGGUAAGUGGAAUUCCGAGUGUAGAGGUGAAAUUCGUAGAUAUUCGGAGGAACACCAGUGGCGAAGGCGGCUUACUGGUCCAUUACUGACGCUGAGGUGCGAAAGCGUGGGGAGCAAACAGGAUUAGAAACCCCUGUAGUCC
rnacentral:rRNA from 1 species